rnacentral:rRNA from 1 species
AGUGAACGCUGGCGGUAGGCCUAACACAUGCAAGUCGAACGGCAGCACAGUAAGAGCUUGCUCUUACGGGUGGCGAGUGGCGGACGGGUGAGGAAUACAUCGGAAUCUACUUUUUCGUGGGGGAUAACGUAGGGAAACUUACGCUAAUACCGCAUACGACCUACGGGUGAAAGCAGGGGAUCUUCGGACCCUGCGCGAUUGAAUGAGCCGAUGUCGGAUUAGCUAGUUGGCGGGGUAAAGGCCCACCAAGGCGACGAUCCGUAGCUGGUCUGGGAGGAUGAUCAGCCACACUGGAACUGAGACACGGUCCAGACUCCUACGGGAGGCAGCAGUGGGGAAUAUUGGACAAUGGGCGCAAGCCUGAUCCAGCCAUACCGCGUGGGUGAAGAAGGCCUUCGGGUUGUAAAGCCCUUUUGUUGGGAAAGAAAAGCAGCAGGUUAAUACCCCGCUGUUCUGACGGUACCCAAAGAAUAAGCACCGGCUAACUUCGUG